rnacentral:rRNA from 1 species
GACGAACGCUGGCGGCGUGCUUAACACAUGCAAGUCGAACGGAAAGGCCCUGCUUUUGUGGGGUGCUCGAGUGGCGAACGGGUGAGUAACACGUGAGUAACCUGCCCUUGACUUUGGGAUAACUUCAGGGAACUGGGGCUAAUACCGGAUAGGAGCUCCUGCUGCAUGGUGGGGGUUGGAAAGUUUCGGCGGUUGGGGAUGGACUCGCGGCUUAUCAGCUUGUUGGUGGGGUAGUGGCUUACCAAGGCUUUGACGGGUAGCCGGCCUGAGAGGGUGACCGGCCACAUUGGGACUGAGAUACGGCCCAGACUCCUACGGGAGGCAGCAGUGGGGAAUAUUGCACAAUGGGGGGAAGCCUGAUGCAGCAACGCCGCGUGCGGGAUGACGGCCUUCGGGUUGUAAACCGCUUUCGCCUGUGACGAAGCGUGAGUGACGGUAAUGGGUAAAGAAGCACCGGCUAACUACGUG